rnacentral:rRNA from 1 species
CGCGUAGGCGGUUUUUUAAGUCUGAUGUGAAAGCCCACGGCUCAACCGUGGAGGGUCAUUGGAAACUGGAAAACUUGAGUGCAGAAGAGGAAAGUGGAAUUCCAUGUGUAGCGGUGAAAUUCGUAGAUAUUCGGAGGAACACCAGUGGCGAAGGCGGCUUACUGGUCCAUUACUGACGCUGAGGUGCGAAAGCGUGGGGAGCAAACA